GGCGCUGAGUCUAUGGGGGGGGUGGGUGUUUACUGCCGAUCACUCGGGUCGACCAGCAUCUCCCCGAGUCCCUCCAUCCGCGGGGCCUCGGAGCGGGCAGGGAGAUGGUCUUCCGUGCUGGAGUGCUUGUUGCUAGCCGGCCAGGUUCCUGGGUCACCCUUGGAGGCGUUCGUCUCCCCUCCUCAGUCCUCCUGCUCCAAGCUCCGUGGCUUGACCAGCGCCCGAGUCCGUGCUCGGGGGGCUCGUUAGUGUGUGUGCCGGAACCCCGUUUCAGGGCUAAUACUUGUCUUGCUCCUGGUGGAUCUGAAGGGGAGAUUUACGUGGCGAGGACGGUCGGUGUGUCUAGGAGCUGGAGAGCGUUUCGGACGUUUUCUCUGCCCGCGGGGGCCGCCUGGGCUAUGUCUCGCGGCCAGAAGAAAGUGAACGUGCCCCGCGCGUUCUGAGUCCACAUUUUCCGUUUGCCUCGCCUGGGAGUGGCCGUGUGUCUACGUUGGCGGACGGCCCUGAGUUCCCGCCGGUUGUCCUUAGAUCCCGGUCGUCCUCCCCUGGAGUAAAGACGGGCCCGGACGGCAGAACAAGGACACGCUGGGCUGCGGGCUGGGGCGUCACCGCGUUGCCUGUUCUCGGGUCUCCCCGCCCCGUGGGGCCCAUAUACUCACCAGGGCCUAGGGGCGGGGUAGACUGCGUCUUUGUGGGAACCGCCUGUGGUCCCUUCUGUUCCCCUUAGGGGCUCGGCGGUUAUGUAGACCCUACACACGGGUUUCUCACCGCGGCUGACAACAGGGAACGUGGUGGGCGAGCAAGGAGGACCCCAGUGCGCGCCUUCCGUCUUGUACGGUUUAUCCACAGAAUAGCUGCUCAGUUGAAGAUGACCAAAGAGGGAGUUUCAGUAUGUCUAAAUAUUGGUUUAAAAGCAGAGGAAACUCUCUACAACCCACGCGGCCUGCUCCAUGCCCUGGAGCAACCAUUCUGGAAGUCCAGACGCCUAAACUCUGCAGCAUGAGGCCUCAAGGUCUGGUCUUGGAAAGGAACCCUUUCCAGGGCCCUAGAGUGGGCUCACAAUGCUGACAAAGCAAGAGACUUGAUUGGGAAGAGGUACUCAGGAGGAUAGCAGCAGGAUAUGGGAAGAAGCAACAAGAGGGAAUAUUCUCCUGGGCCAAGAGUCUAGUGAGACAGGUAUGGUCCAGAGACUUGCUACUUGCAAGGUCUGGUCUAGUAACAGCACAGAGUGGCCUGUCAAUGGAAUCUUCAUUAGACCUGGGACACAAAGGCCAUGAAAUGCCCCCAAAGCAUGGUCAAAUAUGUGGCUGUGAAGAGACCGUGUUGACUGGAAGUUGGCACUUACCUGCUGUCUCUACAAAGAUUUCAUCAUGACCACUGCAAGCUGCUGACCUUCAACCCCCCUUGAAAGGAGUUCAGGAUGGAGAUAAGAAAUAAGGCACUCUGUGCUCUGGGAAAAACCCAGAAGAACUGGCCUUCGGAGAGUCAGAUGCUUUCAGAAUACAACAAAUCUCCAAGUGAUAGUUUGACAAGAAUAUUCCUGGCCAACACCCAGACAAUGCUGGAACAAGCCGCCUUAUCAUUCCAUGGACUCUCAUCUCCCUCCAUAAAGGCACAACACCCCUGUACAGCCUGAAGAAGUCAGAGUGGUCAUCGCGCCUUUUCCCCUGAGACUGGGUUCCCAAAUGCCUGAGAAGGGAAAUAGUUAGAUAGUUAGACGUGAGCAGGGUAUCAAAAGGGGUCAAAGAAUUGGCCCUAAAAAUAAAGAGAGGGAUGAAAGUAGUGACCCAAGGACCGAAGAGCAGAUAAAACCAAGGGGGAACGGAAUGCAGGAAUGGAAAACCAGACCCUUCUCAUCCUUCCCUCCCCCAUGUUGUAACUAUUAACAGAUUUCAGGUCCUCCUGAGCAAUAUAACCUGUCUCCCUUCCUACCCCAUAGGGAGAAGGUCUUUGCCUCACUCUCCGCCCUCCCCCUUCCCCCCAGGAGAUGUGCCUCAUCCAAUCAGCAAAUGACCGGCAAGACCCCUAUCCUGCUCCCUGUACCCUGGGUAUAAAAUUGGAAUAAGGACCCCUGUUCAACGAUGGUUCUCUCUUGAGCUGGCCCACAGUUCCAAUGGUGUCUCCCACUCCAAUAAACUUCAUUUCCCUCUCA